rnacentral:lncRNA from 10 species
AGAAACACAAGCAUGGGGCAGGUCCCUGCUAGCCUGACUCACACACACCGCAGCGUCACUGCCCAUGGCGACGGCGUUCCAGACUCACGCACACUCACCACACGCGUCACUGUGCCCAUGGCGACGGCCUUACUGACUCACACUCACCGCACAUGUCAUUGUGCCCGUGGCGACGGCCCUCCUGACUCACACUCACCGCACGUCACUGUGCCCGUGGCGACGGCCCUCCUGACUCACACACGCUCCCCGCACGCGUCGCUCUGCCCGUGGCGACGGCCUUCCUGACUCACACACACAACCCGCACGCGUCGCUCUGCCCACGGCAACAGUGUUCCUGCCUAUCAUCACAACAGGCGACUCAAGAACGUGACGUCAUGUGGACCCCGUGACCAAAACCAGGCCCAUACUACGCCCGUGAUGUUUCCUCUUUCAGGGUGCUGAGACCUGAGACCACACCUGACCUGCCCGGGGCGGCACAGUGAGGGUGACCUGUACCUCUGCUUUACCUGUGUGUCCUCUCUGAUGAGGAAAAGAGGCAGACCACAGAUGCAAACAGGCUGGGAUGCACUCCUCACAGGCUCUCCUGUGCCCAGCGUGCCUGGUCCCACCUCACCUCACCAGAGGGAUGUGCGGAUGCCAGGUGACUUGGGCACAGCUCCUCAGAGGCAUCUUCCAACCACAGGCACGGGAGGGAGCCCAAGUGGAGCACAGCCACUCGCUGAGUCGAGGAGACAGAGAUUGGAGUUCAGGGAGUCUGAAGUGACUGAAGGCUGCAGAACAGAAUUCCAGAGGGGAAGGAAAUAUGAAGAAAUACCUCAGAAGGAGUGCCCAGGAUCCUCAUGGCGCCCCCGAUGUCCUG